UUGUAUAUAUAAUAUAUAUAUUAUGUAAAUAUAUAUAUAUUGAGAGAGAGAGAGACUUAGAAAAUAAAUAACCUGCAAUUAUCCCCCUUUUUUUUCCUUUAGCAAUCCAUCUCAGUUUCUUUACAGACCAGCUGGAGCUCUGCAAUGUCAUGCUGGAGGCCAUUUGUAUAAAUUUUGCAACAUUUAAUGGGAGCUCAUACAUGGAGAUCUUAUACAAGUUCGUGUUUUAUGCAAUGUUACCAUCUGAAAAUAUUUUUCCUAAUAUCAAAGUCUGAAACCUAAAAUCAGGUUUCUACCUGUGUCCAAGAAGGGCGAGACAUUUGAAGAAAGUUUCCAACAUGUCAAUGUGAAACUACAAUCAAUACACAGAAAAUUUCUGUCCUCGUGGAACAUAUGUUUCAGAAGAAUCAGAAGUAACAUCCUAUUGUAUUCAAGCCAUUGAUGUAGGAAGAGAACUUGGAGAAAGAAACAGUGACGGAGGAGGAAAAUCUAUAGAUUAUCAUGUGUGAUAGUGUACACAUAGUUACAUACAUAUUUGUGUUUCUGAGUAAUACAUGUAAGUAACUUUAAAAUAAAAUUCUAUGGAAGAAUUAAAGUUUGAAUGCAGCUGUCUCCUCCAUCAUUCUUUCAAAAUGCAAGAGCUCAAAAAUCAAUGAAAUAAACAGACAAAAAAUUGUGUUGUUUUGUUUCUGUUUUAUUGAUUAUGAUAGAUUGCCUCUGGUUUUAGUGACAAAGAUUUUGCUACCAUUUCUUUGGUUUUGGCAAACCCAAA